rnacentral:RNase_P_RNA from 1 species
GCCGCAGACCGCCUUAUCGCCGCAAUUUAUUGGGGAGGAAAGUCCGGACACCACAGAGAAGCAUAGCGGGUAACGCCCGUCGGUUGACUCUGAAUUUAUUUCAGAGUCUUCUAGGACAAGUGCAACAGAAAGUAUGUACAGGUAAUGCUGUAGUGAAACCAGGUAAACUCUAUGCGGUGAAAUUUCAAGUAUAUCGGCAUUUAAGGGUUCUCGCCCGUUGUCGAAGGGUAGAAAGAUUGAUCCCGAUAGUAAUAUCGGGACUAGAUAAAUGAUAAGGCUCCAUUUAUUGGCGACAAAAUCCGGCUUAUAGGUCUGCUUUUUUA